rnacentral:misc_RNA from 1 species
CUUGGCAUCCUUUGCACAAGCCCUUCACCAAAAUGAUUAAAAGCAAUGGUAACUUGCAUAUUCUUGUCUCUAGUGAAUGAAUCACUAUGUCCCAAAAGCAUUACCUUGUUGUGAUGUGUCAUAUAAUUAUUGGAAAUAGUAAUGGCAGUAGAACCACGAAUUGCAUCAAUCAAACCAUCAUUACAAUUUGACAAAGAACAAUGAUCCACCCAAACAUGACUUCCACCAAAUAUAGAAACACCAUCUCCAUCUGAUAUUGUUCUCCAACCAUAAUGUUGUGGUGAAUCUCUAACAUAAGCAUUUCCACCUUGUUUACAAUCAUGAAUAUUUAAUCCAUGUAUUAUGAUAUUUGUAACAUAUUGUAUAGUUAUACAUGGACCACCAGCAAUAUGUACACUAGCACCUCUACCAUCAAUUGUCUUAAAUGAAUUCAACAUUAAUUCUUCUUUUAACUUAAUAACCAUAUCUCUAGAAAAUAUAAUCCAAAGUGGUUCAUCUUGAAUUGCACCAUAUCUUAAUGUUCCUGGCUUUGGAUUUACUGGAUCAUCACUAGUGUCAGUAACUACGUAGAUUUUACCAUCUUUACCACCAAUCGCUUGUUUACCAAAGCCAAUUGCACAAUCAGCUAGUCUUUGUCUGUUUUUUUCCCAAUUAGGAUCACAUCGCCAACAAUCAUCAAUUGGAUUGCCUGUUCCACAUGAUAAAUAACCUAAGUUCCUUCUUGAUGCAUUGAUUUUCUCAUUAACUUGUUGGACUAUAACUUCAGGGUCAGGAACAUGAGAGGAGAAUGUGAAGAUAGGAGAUAAUAGAGUAAGAAGGAGAAGAAAAGAAAGUGGCAUUCCCAUUUGAAAUCCCCUUUGUGUUGUUAAGGGAAGAGAAAAUAUAAUGGAGUUUGGAAUGAAG